CAGUCGCCGCGGGAAUACGUAGGGCGCAAGCGUUGUCCGGAAUUAUUGGGCGUAAAGAGCUCGUAGGCGGUCUGUCGCGUCUGGUGUGAAAUCCCGAGGCUCAACCUCGGGCUUGCAUCGGGUACGGGCAGACUAGAGUGCGGUAGGGGAGACUGGAAUUCCUGGUGUAGCGGUGGAAUGCGCAGAUAUCAGGAGGAACACCGAUGGCGAAGGCAGGUCUCUGGGCCGCAACUGACGCUGAGGAGCGAAAGCAUGGGGAGCGAACAGGAUUAGAUACCCCAGUAGUCCCUGUCUCUUAUAA
rnacentral:rRNA from 1 species